ensembl:snRNA U2 U2 spliceosomal RNA
AUUGCUUCUCGGCCUUUUGGCUAAGAUCAAGCGUAGAAUCUGUUCUUAUCAGAUUUACUUCCCUAUGAAAAUCUUUAAGAGGCACUGUGGUACAACUCACAUCACUAGAUUUUAGAAUAUUAGACUUAAGUCUCUUACCAACUGCAUGACCUUGAGAAAAAAAUA